rnacentral:misc_RNA from 1 species
UGGAUCGAAUUUGAGCGAGGCGUCGUGUCGUUGGCGUCGUGUGUUAUGGCUGUAGCGGGCUGUAAUCAACGGUCAUAUUCACUGGAAUCUCGGGAUUAGCUUGUGGCUCUUGAGUUCCCUCCGUGCUUGGAUCGAAUUUCAGCGAUCGAGCGCCGGCAUUGCUUGCUGUAGAGUACUUUGUGUGCGAUGGAGGUGGAUGUUCCCACUCUUGUCACCAAACUGUGCACAUUGGCGGCCGGUGGCGCUAAGUCGGACGUGCCCGUCAAGGAGCUGAGGAAGCUGGCCUUCUCCAUUCUACUGAAGUUGGACCAUAGGCCGGCGACAUCGCCUGGUACGUGGGAUGUACCCGUUGAAGACCGUGUCCUGGCCAAAGCAUUUGCAAUGCAGCUACAGGACAGGCAUCGAGAUGCACUGCAGCUUAGGGCAUGCAUCACUCAGCUCAAAAAGGGUCAUGAGCACUGUUCACAGGAGGUGCGAGCAUGCUUGGAGUUCCUGCUUCACAUGGCUGACAGUGGGCCUCCAAGUGCAAAGCAGCAAGCACACUCCCUGUUCUUCGAGCUACACCCAACUGCCCCAGGCAAUGAACAAGUUCCACCUUGUUUGGUUCCUGGUAUCCCAUCUCUUCGUGAAUAUCCAAGGCAGCUUUUUGAGCACCUUGAUGAUGACCUGCAGGCCAUGGACAACCAAGGCAACCUUGUUCUUCCAGGACUGUGUGCAGCUGAGCCUGGGUGUGACCUCAAUGGGAACCCUUUGUUCAGCCUGCACAGCCAGAGCUUGAAGCCAGCCCCUAGCGACAUCCCAGUCAGAGUGCCACCGCUCACUGCAUUCACGAGACACAGGGUCCUGAGCAAGUUCUCCAAGGGCCCAGAAAAGCUCGAGCCCUUGCCAGCAGUAAAACGGCCAUCAAAGCAAGCUCAGCCAGACAGGCUGCCCCUGACUGAGGAAGACUGGCAGUACGUCAUGCGUGCAGGGAGAAGGAAGCACUUCACCUGGGAGAGUGUUAGAUGUGUGACAAGCACAAGGGAGCAGCCAUUUGUGACCGAGGCUGGUGAGGGUGCAGGAGAAGCUGUGUGCCAGAUACGGAUGACGAGCCUGGCUUCCUUGAUUGGAGCCAUGCCAGCAGCUCCAGUGCAACCCAAGAGCCUUGUCCGAAAGGCACUGCUGCUGCUCGUGGGAAUUCCAUCAGAUGUUUUUCCCUAUGAUCCUGUGCUGCACAGGUUCAGCAUCCAAGACGGGACGCGACUGAAAGGCACAUCGUCUGAAGCCCUUGCUGCAUCACUUCAAUGCUUCCUGGAAUGUGGCAGGGACAUCCGCUUUCUGGAAGACGUUGUCUCCAGCAAUCUAUCUGGGAACAUCAAGCCUCCCCUGACGUGGCAGGCAUUUGUUGGAGCACUGAGGCGCUUCCUGCACUGCUUUCAUGGCUGCCUGGUGCCCAUGGCAGGACGUGCCGACACGCUUACCAUCCUUCAGCUACGUCACAUUGUGAGCCGACUUUGCGACCACGUGAGGUUCACCACAGACAUUUGCCGCAAUGUAGUUCAAGUACAGGGGGCUCCCUCACAACGAACGCAAAGCAUGCUGCUACUGCACAAUCUCUGUCAACAUGCCAAGAGCUGCUGGGGCCAGGAGGCAUCAUCCAUCGUGGCAUUCCUUCUUCAGCAGAGCUGCCAGCCUUACCUCCGGUUUUUGGAGGAGUGGCUCUAUGAUGGACGUUGCAACGACCCAUAUGGAGAAUUCCCCAUUCUGAUACACAAGCAGGAGGUGGAGAUGCGAGAUGAAAGCUUCUGGGAGAAAGGAUUCCAGUAUGCAGCCUCGGAGGCUCCAUUCCUUGCCACUUUCAUGCCAAAUGUCUUCACCAGCGCCAAGAGUGCCAUGCUGCUCAAAGUCUGCAAGCCUGAGAGUCGCCUUCUGUGGAGCAAGCAGCUGCGACCUGAGUUGAGGUUGGCUUUCAGCAACCUUCAACUGGAUGAGACCAGGGAGUCGUCAGAGUGCUACAGCCGUGCCAUGGAGUCUGAGCUCACGCUGACACCACUUCCAGAGAUUUGCCUUGGACUUGAUCCACAUGUGGAGAUCCCAAAAGAAUGGAUCAAAGCUCAAGAGGAACGAGUUGACAGAAGAAGUCGUCUGCUUUAUGCAAUUCCUCGGUCUCCGAGCUCUAAUUCCAGGUGUCUGUCUUCACCGUGCAUUAAGAGGGCUGCACAACCUGCACAUGGGAUUCCACCAACUACAGCAGCCAGCGUCAGCCAUGAUGACCUGCUCUACUCAGUUAUAACUGGCACACACAUGAGAGUAACUGGCAGGUCGACAAGCCGUGUUGCCAUGGAAACAGAGCAGCCCAGUAACUUGGGACUUUUCUGUGAAGCAGCAGGGACAUAUGAAAGAAAUGGACAACGGAACAUCUUUGGUCAUGCAUCUGAUUCCCAACUUCAUGACAUCCUCUAUCCUGACUGUGCUGGUAAAGUGUCUAGCAAAGGAAACCAAAGCACAGCAGAGAGGAAUGUUGAAAACAUGGCAGCUGAGGUUGGCAUAGGUACACCGACCAGAAUCACCUCAAGUCCCAAUUUGAAACCCAUGAUGUUAUCUGGUAGCAGAACUGACCGUGGGAGACCAGAAUUGCUGCUGGAAGAACCAAGUGCUUCUGGAGUGUCACCUGACAGUCCUUGCUUGUGUGGGCACUCGUUUGAAGACAACAGCUAUGAAAGUGAGGGGAAAGGGCUGAACCAGUCUUGUGGUGACAAUCCUGGUUUGCUGCUCCCGGAGCCCACUUGUGACGAGGCACACAGUGCUGAGGACGGCGGUGGAGAUGCCAGCAUGUUGGCUGCUGACAGAGAAAGCAGCAUACCUACCACUGCAAAUGAGUCCUACCCUGUGGCCUUGAAGAUGACUGCCGCUGAGACCGCUGCACGCCGUUCCCCUGCAGCGCUCGGCCUUCGUGAGCGACUGACCGCCCCAGGGCCUGAACGCGGAUCCACUCUGGAGCCUCUGGCAUCAUCUAAGCUGGCAUUCUUCAUGCCAGACAGCACCUUUGGCGACUGGGCUCUUGAUGGUGGACUAUGCAGUCUCCCUCUGGAGAUUGCCAUGAAGCGCUCCCUGCUUCCCCCAUUGAUAGCACAGAUGAAGCUGCUGAAUCGGGUGUGUGUGUCCUACUUUGUGAUUGAGCUGCGGCUUUAUGACCACCUGGAGGCACUCACCAACUAUUUCUGCUUUCAAGAUGGCGAGUUUGGACAGGCACUGUGCGACGCCAUAUGCCACAAGCUCAAGUCACCCAUGCACUCACCAGCAGAAUUUUUCAACCCAAGGACGCUCAACUGGAUUCUCUCUCAAGCCUUGAGCUCAUCUCUGCAUGGAGAGAGUGCAGAGGCAGCAAACCUGAGCCUUGAUGCAUGCAGCAUUCCUUUUGUCAUCCCUCCCGGCCAGAACGUCGUGAACUGCCUUUCAAUGAGCUACAAGGUGGAGUGGCCACUGAACGUGGUGAUCACCCAGGCUUGUCUGCUGCGCUACAACAAGAUAUUCCGCUUCCUCCUCAGCUUGAGGCGAGCCUUAUGGGCGCUUUCAGAUAUCUGGAGCCGUCUCAAGCCAUCUGCACUCCCCAGGAAGCCAGACUCAUCACUGGAAUUGAGGCAACUUCAGCUGAUGAGGCAUGAGAUGCUACACUUUGUGCACAUGGUCCAGUCGUACGUGGGCAGUCAAGUCAUGCAGGCAUCGCUUGCAGAGCUACGUGCCGAACUCAACAAAGAGGCGCAGUCUGUUGAUGACCUCCGCAAUGCCCACUUUGCCUUCCUCAAGCGGCUCAGCCAGCGAUUGCUUCUGGGACGUAGGGCGGUACCUGUCCGCAAGUUACUGCACGAAGCGCUCAACACGGUGCUUUUCUUCCAAGCUGAGCUUGCAGAGUACUCAUGGUGCAUUCAGGAUGGUGUUCAGCUGAGCCAUCCAUCUUUUGCCAAGUUUGUAGCUGCCCACACCAAGUUUCAGAAAACUGUGGCCACACUGCAGACAGCUUGGCUCUCGGACGCUAUGGGAGCUCCCAGGCACACAGUGAGCAAGGACCACGAAACUGCCCGUGCUGGGCAACGCUCGCUUUCCUAUAAUGGCAGAAAAUGAAACUUCAGGGAGCGGGCUAAGCUAGCCCGAGGUCGGCGCGGAGGCGAGCACGUGCGGAGACCAUCGAAGCAUCAAGGAGCCUUCACAUGUCGCAGUACCCGACGAACUGUCUCAAGCUCUCAGAGGUGCUCGACUUCAGUGCAUUCCAGUGGCCUGAGCAAGGCAC